UGCAAGCGUUAUCCGGAUUUAUUGGGGUUAAAGGGUGCGUAGGCGGGCUAUUAAGUCAGUGGUGAAAGCCCCAAGCUUAACUUGGGAACUGCCAUUGAUACUGAUGGUCUUGAGUACAUUUGAGGUGGGCGGAAUGUGUCAUGUAGCGGUGAAAUGCUUAGAUAUGACACAGAACACCGAUUGCGAAGGCAGCGCACUAAACUGUAACUGACGCUGAGGCACGAAAGCGUGGGGAGCAAACAGG
rnacentral:rRNA from 1 species